UUUUUUUAAGUAAUCUCUACAUCCAAUGUGGGACUCAAACUUACAACCCUGAGAUGAAGAGUCUCAUGCUCUCCUGACUGAGCUAGCCUGUUGGCCCAAGAUACAGUUUUCUGAUGAGGAAAAUGGCAUUUGCCUUAGAGGAAGGAUAGAUGUGACAUGCUUAGCCUCAUACUAGCAUUUGGUAAAUAACCAUAAAUGUAAGUAAACCUCACCCCUUGCCUAUUAGAGAGAAGACAUUUGAAAUAUUUUGACUUGCUUCCUCCAGUAACAGGAAAGUGAUUUCUUAUCACAAGUUGAUCAAAAACCUGUUCAUUAAGGCAGGGGUGUGGAAUGGAGAUAUUCGGGCAAUUUACAUAUGAAAGACUCAGCCAGGCCUUGGUUGGUUGAGAUACAGACACCCAGAGCGCUUCCACCAUUAAAGUAUUACAGAUACGCUCAUGUACAAACUUGGAAUAUUGUAUACAUAGUUGUCUUACUUAGGCUUUAAGUGUGACUCUUACCAUAGUCACUCCCCUGUUUAGAGUCCCUAAGGUCUAAUUUUAUUUUUAGAAUAAAGGUAUAAAUUUUUACAUUGCUUAUAGGCCCUAGGUAUAUCUGGGCCUUGCCUAAUGCUUAAGCUACUCUCCUUAAUUGCCACAUUCAAUCAUAUUUAACACCUUACUCUUUUUUGAAUGCACCAAUUUCUUUCCUACCUUCACAUCCUGGACUAUGCUCCUCACUUUGCCUGGAAUUCAUCCUUAGCUGGGUCAACUCUUACUCUUUCUUCUUUUUUUUUUCUUUUAAAGAUUUUAUUUCUUUAUUCAUGAGAGACAGAGAGAGAGAGAGAGACAGAGAGAGAGAGAGGCAGAGACACAGGCAAAGGGAGAAGCAGGCUCCAUGCAGGGAGCCCGUGUGGGACUCGAUCCUGGGACUCCAGGAUCACGCCCUAGGCCAGGCACGCACUAAACCACUGAGCCAUCCAGGGAUCCCCUCUUUCUCCUUUUAUGUAUUUAUAUUGGAAUUUUUAAUAGACUUUUUCCCAGGUACUCCUACAGUUCUCAGAUCACCCUGUGUGUCUGCUUAUCUUAAAACAAUUAUCUAAAUUAUAAAUUUAAUGUGCAUUUAUGCAAUUAUUUUUCAACAUCUCAGAUCCUAUAAAAUUAUAGGCAUAAUGACAGCACUAUCUGUGACUAUACUGCUUGCUGACAGAUCUCCAGUUCCUAUCAAUAAGGUCAGUGCUUAAUAAUAUACUCAAAGAAGUCACUAAUGCUAUAGUCACAGAAUACUGAGAAGCUAUUGCUUCAGCUAUUUUUUGUGAAAAUAUUUUAUUGUGUAAAGAUUUAGUUUUCUUUUAUAGCGGAGCAUGUUAUUUCUAUCCUAACUACUCAGCUCUUAUACUAAAUAUGAUUGUAUAAACACUAGUUAAUUAAUUUCCCUUUUAUAAUGAGGCAAAAAUGUAUGAGCUAACAACGUCAAAGUUACAGAAUGAGUAAAGAAUACUAUGUAGAGCAGGGUUUCCCUAUCUUGACAAAACUGACUUUUGGGGCUAGAUAAUUCUUUGUGGUAGAGGGUAUCUUGUACAAUGUAGGCCAAUAUCUCUGGCCUCCAGCCAUUAGAUACUAAUAGCAUCCACUCCCUAGUUGUGAUAACUAAAAAUAUGUCCAGACAUUGCCAAAUGUUUCCUGGGUGAUGAAACGAUCCCUGAUUGAAUACCAGAGAUACAGUAUAUGUAUAACAAAACAAUCUUUGCUCUCCUUGAGUUACAAAUCUAGGUGGGUGGGAUUAAUAGAGGUACACAACAAUAAAAAAGACACAAAAUGCUAUUGAGUUCAAACAAGAAUCUCUCCUUUUUCAAAGAUUUAACAUUUCAUCAUGCAUUGUGUCUCACACGAAUUAUACCACAGCCAUAGUAAAGUCAAUUCUUUAACAACAUCACAAACUGGUUAAUAAAAGCAACAAGACCUCAUGCAACCCCUACCACAGAGCCCCAGUAAACAUUCAUAACUAUCAACAUGGUAACUGAGCCUUCCAGAAGAAAAAACUGAACUCCACUUUCAGGAAAAGUAAAUGUCGAGCAUGUAGAAAAAAUUUAAGUCAAUUUUCAGCAUUAUGCAAGACUGUGUUCACAUUUCAUUGGGCAAACACAGAAGACUAAAAUACUGGGAAAUUAUAUAUAUUUUUCAGUACUUUCAGUUCAGUGAAAGAUGAAAUAGAAUUGUUUAGAAGGAGAGGAAAGGAAAAAGAAAACUGUAAAGAUUCCAAAAAUAUUAUUUAACUUAAGAGUAAAAUAUAUUUUAUUCCUAAGAACAAGGCAGUACAAAUUAAUCAUUAAGUCCUGUUCAUAUUGACCUUCUGUUUGAAGUGCCCUGUACCUUAAAAUCUUCUACUUGGUCUUCACCAUCCUGUUGCAACAUUACCCAUUCUGUAAAGGUUUCCAUAAUCUCUGUGCUUUGGAUCACAGAGGAAAGGUCUAAGUCACAACAUACAGAGAUUAUCUGUUCACUUGGUUUUUACUCUGCUCUAUUCAUUCCUGUAAGGCAGGUUAUGUGUUUAACAGUAUAUUAUACAAUACCUAAAAUAUGGGAGGAACUUCAAAGUAUCUGUUUAACAAGGCAAUGAAUGAGCACAUGAACAAUCAAAUGUACAUGAUUUAAGUACAUGCUGUCUGGAUUCACUUCAGCCUUAAGGUAGAAAAUGAUAAUUGCUAUACACAAUUUGUCACAGUAAUAAAACUCAUUGAUGUUUGUGUAGCUUCCAUCAGAAAAUGUCACACCUAAGCUGCUAGACGUACCUACAAUUCCUCAGACAGAAGAUUCUAAGCAAACAUGGAAGUGUCAUACAUUUUGAUGCAUUACAAGGUACACUACACAUAUGAACUCCAUUGUACAUUAUAAAUUGUAACAAUUACACAAUUGUAUGUAGUUCUCUCCAACCAGACAAAAAAAACCCUGAUAUUACAUCUGAGUUGACUCUACCUGUAAACUAAGUCCAGCUAAUUAAAUGGUGCAGACCUGACACAUAUAUUUGGCAUCAAACCUUAUAAAGUGACAAUUUCAUUACAUAUGAGGGCUGUCGUUGGUUGAUUAAAACCUUACAAAUAAAUAUUUACCAUAAUUUAUUCAGAGAAGAUGAUUACUUGACUUGGAUGGGGUGAAAAAGCCCAGAAUGAUUAAAUGAGUUGAUGCAAAUAUGAUAUAUUCAUAAACCCACCAGUGACAUCCAACUGAAAAUGAAAGAGAGGAGUACCUCUCCUUAGAUCUUGAGUAAUUAGAAAGAGAAAAAUGCAUUGUUCGGCACAUAUGAUCUAUGUUUGGACCAGCCAUAUGUUUUCAUUCUUCAUAGGCUCUGGUAUUUUACAAAUGGGACUUACUCUCCAGUAACUAUACUGGAAUAAAAAAAAAAAAUAUGAUUUCUACAAAACAAAAACAAAACUCCAAUAUAUUAGUUCAUUAAUAUAACCAAUAAAUUGACACUAAUUAGAGCAUGAUAGCUGCUUGAUGAAAAAUGACUAUGCACUUUAGUUCUGAUUUGUGUUACCAUUAUUUACCAUUAGCUCUCACUCAUACCUGCUAAUAGGGGAAGCAGUGGUGUGGGGAAUCUGAAACAGCAUAUCACUGAAAAUCAUUUUUAACUGGUUCUAGAAGGCAUGUUUAUUUUUCCUAUUACAUUAUUAAUUGUUCAGUUUGGUUACAAUUAAAACUUACUUCAGUUACCCAAGAGCAUUCUAGGUGCCAGAAGUAAAUAAAGAGAAUUAUUCUGCGAUAGCUUGUUCCUAGAGAUAUUAAAUGCUUCAGGGAAUGAGAAGAAAAGAAUAUUUGUUGAGUGCUUAAUAUGCUAAGCACUGGUUACAAACUUUUAAAUAUGCUGUGAUUUCAUCCACAUUACCCUGUAAGCUAGAUGUUACCAUCUCCAUCUCUUAAGUACAAAGACAAAGGCUCAAAUGGUAGGCUUGCUCAAGGUCAUAGAGCUAAAAAGACAUAAUGUUCCUGAGAUUAUUAAGUGAACUAUGACAUCCAUCUUCAAUAGAUAAAAAUAUUGUAUUCUUUUUGACAAGUAUCCUAAAGAUAAAAUUACUAGAAACCCAAAGAAAUUAUUUUGCCACAGCAGACUUUCCUUCAUCCGUACUAAAUAAGAAUGUUGCAUAGGGUAUAAACAGACAUUCCCAAAAAGUGAUCGUGUUACAGAGUAGGUCCAUAGAUCAAAUGGUAUGUGUAGAAAUCAUGCAUUUCAUUACAUAAAAGACAGUAGUUGGAGUUAUUUUAAAAAGCCAUAAGUAAAACAUGAAAAAGUCUAUAUUCUUUCAGUAUAACAGUAUUUUAAAUUUACAGAUGUUAAAGCAGGAUACUGGAUACAUAAAGGAUUAAGAAGAUGAUGGCUAUUUAAAGUUGUUAUUCAAAGCUAACCUACACAUUACAAGACCAUAUAACUGAAAUUAUAAACUAUUUUUGCAUUGAGGAAGGACACAGCCCACUCACUGUAACGGUUCUUAAUAAACCUGAGUUUUAUUCUCAUGGGUUCCCUUUAGCCCUUAGUUACUCAUCUGGCUUCUGAAUAGAUACUUCCAGUUGUCAGAAUUUUAGUAUCAAUCAACAAUCUAUCUGCAUCCUGGGCUUUGCUUUUAAAAUUUUGGCUGAUAAAUAAAUAAAUCUGCCUUUUUGUGUGUAUGUUUGUGUUUAAAGUACGUGCUUGAGUUGAAAACAGGACAGUGGUAGUGAAUUAAGGCGAUGUAUGCAGUCAUUUUUACUCAAGUGAACAAAAGAGCAAGGAAUCAACAUAAUAAAUAUGUAAGUCCCUGAAUUGGUAGAAUCAACAGAAUUCAGUGUUUAAUUCUAGCAGUGCUACAAACCAGGAUGUCCUUAAGCAAGUUACCUCACUACACUUAAGUUCAUUUUGUUCAGGUCUAUAAUAAGUUAGCAUAUUCUGUUUUGUUAUGAAAAAUCCAGUAAUUCUUCAUGGAAAACAAUAUCUUAAUGUCAUUGCUACUUAAACGAGGUCUACAGACCAGAGCACCAGGCUCAUGUGAAACCUUGUCAGAAAAGCAAAUUCUAAAAAAAAAAUAAAAUAAAAAAAAAAAAAAAAAAAAAAAAAAAAAAAAAAAAGAAAAAGAAAAAGAAAAAGAAAAAGAAAAAGAAAA
rnacentral:lncRNA from 1 species